UACGUAGGGUCCGAGCGUUGUCCGGAAUUAUUGGGCGUAAAGGGCGCGUAGGCGGGGAGGUAAGUCGGGUGUGAAAUCCCUCGGCCCAACCGAGGAACUGCGCCCGAGACUGCUUCUCUUGAGUCCCGGAGAGGAAGAUGGAAUUCCCGGUGUAGCGGUGAAAUGUGUAGAGAUCGGGAGGAACACCGGUGGCGAAGGCGGUCUUCUGGACGGUGACUGACGCUGAGGCGCGAAAGCGUGGGGAGCAAACGGG
rnacentral:rRNA from 1 species